rnacentral:rRNA from 1 species
GACAGAGGGUGCAAACGUUGUUCGGAAUUACUGGGCGUAAAGCGCGUGUAGGCGGCUAUGUAAGUCGGGCGUGAAAUCCCACGGCUCAACCGUGGAAGUGCACCCGAAACUGCGUAGCUAGAGUCCUGGAGAGGAAGGUGGAAUGCUUGGUGUAGAGGUGAAAUUCGUAGAUAUCAAGCGGAACACCGGUGGCGAAGGCGGCCUUCUGGACAGUGACUGACGCUGAGACGCGAGAGCGUGGGGAGCAAACAGG